GACAUCAGAUGCUGUCUCCUUAUGACAUUAGUUUAGUGCUAUUUAGUUCAUCACCUCCUUGUCUUAGAUGCGUUAAUGACUUGACGUGUGUACAAUCCAAUUUAAUGGAUGGGUCCAUGAAUAACAACAAUAACAUAAAACUAAUAGUACUAAUAUAUAUACUUGAUACAAGUAUUAUCUAAAUAAAUGAUCAAUGUCUCUUCACAACUGUACGAACGUAAUUUAUGAUUGAUCCAACCUUCUCCACACGCUUUUGCUCUUAUGUACGGAAGAUCCUUAAUUUAAGCUGCGCGUGCAAUUUCUCCAAGUCGUUGCACAUACUUCUUAACUUACUCACAUACUCGUCACGCGCCUCUCACGCGCUCUUUGCUCUCUUUCCAUGUUGCUUCUUC